rnacentral:rRNA from 1 species
UACAGAGGGUGCAAACGUUGUUCGGAAUCACUGGGCAUAAAGCGCACGUAGGCGGCUUGGUAAGUGUGGUGUGAAAGCCCCCGGCCCAACCGGGGAACUGCAUCACAUACUGCCAGGCUAGAGAGCGGGAGGGGAGACUGGAACUCCUGGUGGAGCGGUGAAAUGCGUAGAUAUCAGGAGGAACACCGGUGGUGAAAACGAGUCUCUGGUCCGCUUCUGACGCUCAGGUGCGAAAGCUAGGGGAGCAAAC